CAGCCGCCGCGGGAAUACGUAGGGUGCAAGCGUUAAUCGGAAUUACUGGGCGUAAAGCGUGCGCAGGCGGUUUGUUAAGACAGAUGUGAAAUCCCCGGGCUUAACCUGGGAACUGCAUUUGUGACUGGCAAGCUAGAGUAUGGUAGAGGGGGGUGGAAUUCCGCGUGUAGCAGUGAAAUGCGUAGAUAUGCGGAGGAACACCGAUGGCGAAGGCAGCCCCCUGGGCCAAUACUGACGCUCAUGCACGAAAGCGUGGGGAGCAAACAGGAUUAGAUACCCCAGUAGUCCCUGUCUCUUAUAC
rnacentral:rRNA from 1 species